rnacentral:lncRNA from 1 species
GACUAUGGCGAAUGGGAACCCUGUUCUGCUUCCCAAAGUGGAAGUGCUCACGGAUCAGGGAAGUCUGCGUGGCAUACACCUGCAAGGGUCUCACUCCAAGGCGUUCUAGAUCAAAGUCAAGGUCCAGAUCUGAAUCUAGGUCUAGAUCCAGAAGAAGUUCUAGAAGGUCACGGUCACCACCAGGAUCUCGCUAGCAUAGAUGAUCCUGGAGCAGGUCUUACAGCCAAGAUGAUCACAGGCGCCAUAACCACAGCCACAGCCAUUCUCCCAUGUCUGCUCGAAGGUGUCACGUUGGGAACCGGGCAAAUCCCGACUGCAACUGUUGUCUUGGAGUAUUUGGGUUGAGCUUAUACACCACAGAAAGAGAUCUAAGAGAAGUAUUCUCUAAAUAUGGCCCCAUUGCUGAUUUGUCUAUUGAAUAUGACCAGCAGUCUAGACGUUCAAGAGGAUUUGCCUUUGUAUAUUUUGAAAAUGUAGAUGAGGCCAAAGAAGCUAAAGAACGUGCCAGUGGAAUGGACCUUGAUGGGCGAUGAAUUAGGGUCGCUUUCUCUUUAUCAAAAAGGCCCCAUACCCCAACACCAGGAGACACACUUAUGGCAGGUCACACCGCCCGCCGAGACUGUUGUAACAGAGGAUAGGAUUGGGGAUAUGAUGACCAGGACUGUUACAGCAGACCAAACGGAGGGGCAGGGGCAGGGGCAGGGGCAGGGGCAGGGACAGGGACAGGAGGAGGAGGAAGGAGAGCAGCUCAAUACAGAGAUCAGAUUUACAGAAAAUGGUCG